UCCACCACUGCGGGACAACAAGCACAAACAUCACGCUGUUACUUCUCUGCCCUUGGCCGAGCGACUUGGAGCGACGGAGCACAGGGAGGAACGUACAGUUUUGCGAGCACAAAAUUCGAUUUUAAUAUGCAAGCAACAAACAAAUUCUUUCCUAAAUAUAGAAAAAAAAAAAAAAAAGAUAAGGAAAAUCUAUGUGCUCAAGAAACGCAUUUGCAUGUUUACCAUUAUCCACAUCAACGAGCAAUAAUAACCCCCCCUCACGCACUUUUAUUCAUGUGCACUCACAUAAACUCUGGCGCUGCGUUCAGUGUCUCUCUCUCAACGUUCUACACUCUGUGCUAAACAUUGCACAGUGUUAUACUUGUGCCACAGAAUCAACCAAUCGGAGAAGGUCACGCCUGAUUGGCUGCCCUGUGCUCGUCUUUCCGGUUGGUGGUCUUGGACCGGUGUUGCAUUUUCAAAUGAGGUCCAGUAACUGAGUGUCCCGGCUCUGCGUCUGCUAUGAUUCAAAUGAGGAUUCUGAGAGGAUUCCCUACCUGUUGUACAGUAAGCCAUGAGAUCAAAGAUCAGGGGUGUGUGUGUGCCUUUGAUCAUUGAAUCAACUGGGAUGGCAUCACUUUUUGCAUCAUAAUUGGGAUGUUGUGAUCUGAUUCAUAUCAUCUUAGUGUAUUUAAAAAAAUGUCCCUCUUCUUCCACAUUUUUCAACCUAGAAACUUAAUUCGAACAUCAAAACAUUCUUCUCAAUUAGUACAGUGUGGCCUGCAUUCAAUAUUUCCAGACCACAGAGGCAUUACCAACGGACGCGGAGCAGAAUGCCUCCAGACGCAAUUGGACAGACCUUCAACCAGUGAGAGCAACGAUUAAUGCGACGUCUGUGGAGCGACACGAAAAUGUCAACAGACUAGAGCAGAUAUCUGUGAUGAUGAUUCUACAAUAUUUGUGAACGAGUGUUGUCGUUUUUGUGUGAGAAAUGUGAAAAUAUUGGUUCAAAAUUC